rnacentral:rRNA from 1 species
CGAUGCAUUUAGCUAGUUGGUAAGGUAACGGGGCGUUACCAAGGCGAUGAUGCAUAGCCCGAGUUGAGAGACUGAUCGGCCGACAUUGGGGACUGAGACACGGGCCCAAACUCCUACGGGAGGCAGCAGUAGGGAAUCUUCCACAAUGGACGAAAGUCUGAUGGAGCAAACGCCGCGUGAGUGAAGAAGGUUUUCGGAUCGUAAAGACUCUGUUGUUGGUGAAGAAGGAUAGAGGUAGUAACUGGCCCUUUAUUUGACGGUAAUCAACCAGAAAGUCACGGGCUAACUACGUGCCAGCAGCCGCGGUAAAU